UACGUAGGUGGCAAGCGUUGUCCGGAUUUAUUGAGUUUAAAGGGUGCGUAGGCGGUCUUAUAAGUCAGUGCUGAAAUAUCCCGGCUUAACCGGGAAAAUGGCAUUGAUACUGUAAGACUUGAGUAGAGUUGAGGUUGGCGGAAUUGACAAUGUAGCAAUAAAAUGCUUAAAUAUCGUCAAAAACACCGAUAAUGAAGACAGCUAACUAAGCUCUAACUGACGCUGAGGCACGAAAGUGUGGGGAUCAAACAGG
rnacentral:rRNA from 1 species